rnacentral:piRNA from 1 species
UGUCUUCUUGAGGGAGUUC